CCUACGGGAGGCAGCAGUGGGGAAUUUUGGACAAUGGGCGCAAGCCUGAUCCAGCAAUGCCGCGUGAGUGAAGAAGGCCUUCGGGUUGUAAAGCUCUUUUGUCAGGGAAGAAACGGUGGGAGCUAAUAUCUCCUGCUAAUGACGGUACCUGAAGAAUAAGCACCGGCUAACUACGUGCCAGCAGCCGCGGUAAUACGUAGGGUGCAAGCGUUAAUCGGAAUUACUGGGCGUAAAGCGUGCGCAGGCGGUUUUGUAAGACUGUCGUGAAAUCCCCGGGCUCAACCUGGGAAUGGCGAUGGUGACUGCAAGGCUAGAGUUUGGCAGAGGGGGGUUAGAAUUCCACGUGUAGCAGUGAAACUGCGUAGAUAUGUGGAGGAACACCGAUGGCGAAGGCAGCCCCCUGGGUCAAAACUGACGCUCAUGCACGAAAGCGUGGGGAGCAAACAGGAUUAGAUACCCUGGUAGUCCACGCCCUAAACGAUGUACUACUAGUUGUCGGUUACUUAAUUGACUUGGUAACGCAGCUAACGCGUAGAAGUACGACCGCCGUAGGGGACGUACGGUCGCGAAGUAUUAAAACCGUCAAAGUGAAAUUGACCCGGUNUGAGACGUAGACCGACGGACGACGACGAGGGGAGGAGG
rnacentral:rRNA from 1 species